UACGGGGGGUGCGAGCGUUGUCCGGAAUCACUGGGCGUAAAGGGCGCGUAGGUGGCCUGGUAAGUCUGUGGUGAAAGCCCGGAGCUCAACUCCGGGUCUGCCGCGGAUACUGCGAGGCUUGAGUGCUGUAGAGGGGGGUAGAAUGCCGGGUGUAGCGGUGGAAUGCGUAGAGAUCCGGCAGAAGACCGGUGGCGAAGGCGGCCCCCUGGGCAGUAACUGACACUGAGGCGCGACAGCGUGGGGAGCAAACAGGG
rnacentral:rRNA from 1 species